UACGUAGGGGGCAAGCGUUGUCCGGAUUUAUUGGGCGUAAAGCGCGUGUAGGCGGCCAGGUAGGUCCGCUGUGAAAACCCGAGGCUCAACCUCGGGACGUCGGCGGAAACCAUUUGGCUAGAGUCCGGAAGAGGAGAGUGGAAUUCCCGGUGUAGCGGUGAAAUGCGCAGAUAUCGGGAAGAACACCCGUGGCGAAGGCGGCUCUCUGGGACGGUACUGACGCUGAGACGCGAAAGCGUGGGGAGCGAACGAG
rnacentral:rRNA from 1 species